rnacentral:tRNA from 1 species
UUGGUUAGCGCGCCAGAUUGUGGUUCUGGAUAUCAUGGGUUCGAGUCCCAUUACCCACCC